AGAGUUGAUCUGGCUCAGGAUGAACGCUAGCGACAGGCUUAACACAUGCAAGUCGAGGGGCAUCACGGGAGUAGCAAUACAACUGGUGGCGACCGGCGCACGGGUGAGUAACGCGUAUGCAACCUACCUAUCAGAGGGGAAUAACCCGGCGAAAGUCGGACUAAUACCGCAUAAAACAGGGGCACCGCAUGGUGAUAUUUGUUAAAGAAAUUCGCUGAUAGAUGGGCAUGCGUUCCAUUAGGUAGUUGGUGAGGUAACGGCUCACCAAGCCGACGAUGGAUAGGGAACUGAGAGGUUGGUCCCCCACACUGGUACUGAGACACGGACCAGACUCCUACGGGAGGCAGCAGUGAGGAAUAUUGGUCAAUGGGCGGGAGCCUGAACCAGCCAAGUCGCGUGAAGGAAGAAGGAUCUAUGGUUCGUAAACUUCUUUUGCAGGGGAAUAAAGUGCAGGACGUGUCCUGUUUUGUAUGUACCCUGAGAAUAAGGAUCGGCUAACUCCGUGCCAGCCGCCGC
rnacentral:rRNA from 1 species